AGAGACCUGAGUAAUUCUAUGAAGCUGAAUUGCAUUCGUGCCUUGGAAAGGCUAUGUUGAUGAUAGAUGAGAUUUGGGGAGUUGGACAUCUGCUGUGACCAGAAUUGAAAUAUAAUGGGACCGUCUUCCCAGGGAAAGAAAGGGGGAAGUUUGACCGCUGGAAAGAGAAAGAGGAGCACCCAGGGAGCAAGAGAAGCCCUGAGACAGCAGCAAGGGACACUGUGGGGC